UACGGAGGGGGCGAGCGUUAUUCGGAAUUAUUGGGCGUAAAGGGCGCGUGUGAGCGGCGCGAUAAGUCAAAGGUGAAAUCCCUCGGCUCAACUGAGGAACUGCCUUUGAGACUGUCGAGCUUGAGGCCGGGAGGGGGUAGCGGAAUUCCCAGUGUAGCGGUGAAAUGCGUAGAUAUUGGGAGGAACACCAGUGGCGAAGGCGGCUACCUGGACCGGUUCUGACGCUGAUGCGCGAAAGCGUGGGUAGCAAACAGG
rnacentral:rRNA from 1 species